UUGAUAUCAGUAAUUACCUCUUUCUUCAAUGAUCCUUUAUUCUUUCUUUGUCCUUUUCUACUUUUUGAACUUUCUUCACCCUUCUCAAAAUUUAUUUUUCUUUUUUUUGUUUUAACCUUUUCAAUCUUUUCCCUGUUUUGUUUGUAUACCAUAAAAAUAUAUAAAAUAUUAGUUCCAAAUUGUUUGUAUUCAACAAAAAUAUAUAAUACUAGAAAAAGAAAUUAAAAAUACCUUGCCAUUUUUCGACUGAAGUUCUCAAGUGUAGCAACAGGAUGUUUCAAGUGUAUAAGUUAGAAAAAAAAUCAAACAAGGUUUCUGUAAAGUGUAGAAUAUGAAAUAUCUUGCCAUUUUUCGACUGAAGUUCUCAAGUGUAUUAACAAGAUGUUGUCCAAAGUUUGUUAAACGUGAAGGGGAGAAAGAAAAUAACAAGUUCGUCCGAAGCUAUUCGUUUUCUUCUUCGUCCGAUUGAAGUUUUUUUCGUCCGAUUUGAAGCAAAACCCUAAAUUUUGGGGAUCUAAGGGAAAUUCCACGGGAGGGAGCACGGGAAGGGAAAUUCCACGGGAGUGAGCACGGGAAGGAAAAUUGCACGGGAGGGAGCACGGGAAGGGAAUUAUAUUGGAUAAUUUUAUAAAUUUACAAAUUUUAAACGUGGGCUGGGCUUUAAUUUGCUAUGUUUGCAAACUUAAAAGAUUGUGUGCUAUAAACCUAAUUUAUUAAAUUAAAUGUGCUAUACCUGCAAGAGCCCCUAAAAUAAAACACUUUAUUUUAUUAGAUAAAUAAAAAAUUUGUAUUAUACAUACAAUUAUAAACUACAAGACCACGAGAUUUAGGGCAUCAACCCCAACAUAACCUAGAUCCCACAAAAGGUGUUGGUUGAUUAAGAGAGCAGAACAGUGAUCAUGGAAGUCAAAAUCCGCUAAGGAGUGUGUAACAACUCACCUGCCGAAUCAACUAGCCCAAAAAAAUGGAUGGCCCUGAAGCGUGCGACCUAUACCCGACCGUCAGGGCAAGAGCCAGGCCUCGAUGAGUAGGAGGGCAUGACGGUCGUUGUAAAACCUUGAGCGUCAGCCCGGGCGAAGUGGCCAUCGGUGCAGAUCUUAGUGGUGGUAGCAAAUAUUCAAAUGAGAACUUUGAAAGCCGAAAAGGGGAAAGGUUCCAUGUGAAUAGCACUUGCACAUGGGUUAGUCGAUCCUAAGAGAUAGGGGAAACCCGUCUGGUAGCGCGACAGUGUAAACUUCGAAAGAGAAUCGGGUCAAAAUUCCUAAACCAGGAUGUGGCGGUUGACGGUAACGUAAGGGAUUCUGAAAACGUCGGUGGGGGCCUCGGAAAGAGUUAUCUUUUUUGUUUAAUAGCCUGCCCACCCUAGAAACGGCUCAGCUGGAGGUAGGGUCCAGUGACUGAAAGAGCACCGCACGUCGCAUGGUGUCCGAUACGCCCCUGGUGGCCCUUGAAAAUUUUGAGGACCGAGUGUCUCUCAUGCCCGUUCGUACUCAUAACCGCAUCAGGUCCCCAAGGUGAACAGACUCUAGUCGAUGGAACAAUGUAGGUAAGGGAAGUCAACAAAAUGGAUUUGUAACCUCGAGAAAAGAAUUGGCACUAAGGGUUGGGCACAGGGUUCCUAGUCCCGAACCCGUCGAUUGUCGGUGGACUGCUCGAGCUACUUUCACUGCAAAAGUGCGUUAUCCCUGGGCGUUGAACAGUCAACUCAUAACUGAUAUGGACAAGGGGAAUCCAACUGUUUAAUUAAAACAAAGCAUUGCGAUGGUCCCUGCGGAUGCUAACGUAAUGUGAUUUCGGCCCAGUGUUUUGAAUUUCAAAGUGAAGAAAUUUAACUAAGCGCGGGUAAAUGGCGGGAGUAACUAUGACUCUCUUAAGGUAUCCAAAUGCCUGGUCAUCUAAUUAGUGACACACAAAUGGACUAACGAGAUUCCCAUUGUCUCUGUCUACUAUCCAGUGAAACAACAACCAAGGAAACGGGCUUGGCAGAAUCAGUGGGGAAAGAAGAUCCUGUUGAGCUUAGUUCGACUUUUUGAAAUGACUUGAGAGGUAUCAGAGCCAAGUUUGCUCCUUAGGAAUUGAGACAGAGUAGUUAGCUCUAAGAAGAAACUGGAGAGUAAAUAGUUGGAAGUUAAGUUAUUUUAAAGAGAACUAGUAGAGUAUAGUCUAAGUAAUGGUAGAAGUAAGUCAAGAUAUGACUAACAUAUGAGUGAACAUUUAGUAUCAUGCAUUUGAGUUAAGUAUCUAUAGUAUGUCUAAUGUGUUGACAUAUUGUAGGAGUCAUGCCACCAUGUACUCGCAGACGACGCAGGCAGAAUCAAGACGGGAUGCAAGAUCCUACCAAGGGUCAGUUUGU
rnacentral:rRNA from 1 species